CUACGUGCCAGCAGCCGCGGUAAUACGGAGGGUGCGAGCGUUAAUCGGAAUAACUGGGCGUAAAGGGCACGCAGGCGGCUAUUUAAGUGAGGUGUGAAAUCCCCGGGCUUAACCUGGGAAUUGCAUUUCAGACUGGGUAGCUAGAGUACUUUAGGGAGGGGUAGAAUUCCACGUGUAGCGGUGAAAUGCGUAGAGAUGUGGAGGAAUACCGAAGGCGAAGGCAGCCCCUUGGGAAUGUACUGACGCUCAUGUGCGAAAGCGUGGGGAGCAAACAGGAUUAGAUACCCUGGUAGUCCACGCUGUAAACGCUGUCGAUUUGGGGAUUGGGCUUUAAGCUUGGUGCCCGUAGCUAACGUGAUAAAUCGACCGCCUGGGGAGUACGGCCGCAAGGUUAAAACUCAAAUGAAUUGACGGGGGCCCGCACAAGCGGUGGAGCAUGUGGUUUAAUUCGAUGCAACGCGAAGAACCUUACCUACUCUUGACAUCCAUGGAAUCUUGUAGAGAUAUGAGAGUGC
rnacentral:rRNA from 1 species